rnacentral:rRNA from 1 species
GACGAACGCUGGCGGCGUGCUUAACACAUGCAAGUCGAACGGAAAGGCCCUGCUUUUGUGGGGUGCUCGAGUGGCGAACGGGUGAGUAACACGUGAGUAACCUGCCAUGACUUUGGGAUAACUUCAGGAAACUGGGGCUAAUACCGGAUAGGAGCUCCUGCUGCAUGGUGGGGGUUGGAAAGUUUCGGCGGUUGGGGAUGGACUCGCGGCUUAUCAGCUUGUUGGUGGGGUAGUGGCUUACCAAGGCUUUGACGGGUAGCCGGCCUGAGAGGGUGACCGGCCACAUUGGGACUGAGAUACGGCCCAGACUCCUACGGGAGGCAGCAGUGGGGAAUAUUGCACAAUGGGCGGAAGCCUGAUGCAGCAACGCCGCGUGCGGGAUGACGGCCUUCGGGUUGUAAACCGCUUUCGCCUGUGACGAAGCGUGAGUGACGGUAAUGGGUAAAGAAGCACCGGCUAACUACGUG